rnacentral:rRNA from 1 species
UGGGGAAUAUUGGACAAUGGGCGAAAGCCUGAUCCAGCCAUGCCGCGUGUGUGAACAAGGUCUUCGGAUUGUAAAGCACUUUAAGUUGGGAGGAAGGGCAUUAACCUAAUACGUUAGUGUUUUGACGUUACCGACAGAAUAAGCACCGGCUAACUCUGUGCCAGCAGCCGCGGUAAUACAGAGGGUGCAAGCGUUAAUCGGAAUUACUGGGCGUAAAGCGCGCGUAGGUGGUUUGUUAAGUUGGAUGUGAAAUCCCCGGGCUCAACCUGGGAACUGCAUUCAAAACUGACUGACUAGAGUAUGGUAGAGGGUGGUGGAAUUUCCUGUGUAGCGGUGAAAUGCGUAGAUAUAGGAAGGAACACCAGUGGCGAAGGCGACCACCUGGACUAAUACUGACACUGAGGUGCGAAAGCGUGGGGAGCAAACA